UAGGGGUAUCGCCAAGCGGUAAGGCAAUGGACUCUGACUCCAUCAUGCGCAGGUUCGAAUCCUGCUACCCUAGCCA
rnacentral:tRNA from 1 species